GUGUUUGUUUUCUCUUAAUAAAACAUGAGAAAUAAAUAAAUGCAAUUAGUUCUUAUAUUUUCUAGAACACUUCCAAUCCUAAGGUACGGCUUGACCAUCUUGGCCUCUGAGAUUUGGUUGCGCAGUAGCCUAACGCUGAUAACGCUCGGGAAAAACUCAUUUAAAUGGAAUCUCUCGUGGUGCUCGCAUCGGUGAUUUUAGUACGGAUAGACUGAACAUAAACACAAUCAUGCGCUGCGCACGUGAUUGUAUAAAACAGAGAGAGAUAGGCGCUGAUAACGUCUAGGGGACAAAAGAUGGUUCUCCGCUGCAGGUUUUGAAUUGUGGACGGGCCGCACUGUAGGUGUCGCUUCCGAGUUCCGAUUAAACCAAUCAGAGCAGUCCUAUCCACCUGCAAGUUAAUGAUCACGUGCGUGUCACGCUUCCAGUAUUGUUUUGUUUUAGUCU